rnacentral:misc_RNA from 1 species
UUUCCGUAGGUGAACCUGCGGAAGGAUCAUUAUUGAAUAAACUUGAUGUGAGUUGUCGCUGGCUCUCUAGGGAGCAUGUGCACGCUCCGUCAUCUUUAUAUUUCCACCUGUGCACCUUUUGUAGACCCAGAAGGCUUGAGCAAUCGAGUCGUUUGGGCCUAUGUUUAUCAUAUACCCCAUAGUAUGUAUUAGAAUGUAUCAGUGGGCUUUGUGCCUAUAAACACUAUACAACUUUCAGCAACGGAUCUCUUGGCUCUC